rnacentral:rRNA from 1 species
GACGAACGCUGGCGGCGUGCCUAACACAUGCAAGUCGAACGAUGCCUUCGGGUGUAUGGGCUCACUGGUUCAUAACGCGUGGGAACCUUACCUUGUAUUCGAACUAACUUGCCGAAGGGGGUACUAAUACGGAACAAUAGCUACGAACCAAUGAUGUAUCGCGUAUGAAUGGGCCCGCGUUGGAUUAGCUAGUUCGUAAGGUAAACGACUACCAAGGUGACGAUACAUAGCUGGUCUGAGAGGAUGACCAGCAACACUGGGACUGAGACACGGAGCAGACGCCUAGGGAGAGCAGCAGUAGGGAACAUUGGACAAUGGGCGAGAGCAUGAUCCAGUAAUGUCGCGUGAGUGAUGAAGGCGUUAGGGUUGUAAAGCUGUUUUAAAAGGGAUGAUAAUGACAGUACCGGGAGAAUAAGCUACGGCUAACUACGUG